rnacentral:rRNA from 1 species
GAAUUGAAGAGUUUGAUCAUGGCUCAGAUUGAACGCUGGCGGCAGGCUUAACACAUGCAAGUCGAACGGUAGCAGGAAGAAAGCUUGCUUUCUUUGCUGACGAGUGGCGGACGGGUGAGUAAUGCUUGGGAAUCUGGCUUAUGGAGGGGGAUAACUGUGGGAAACUGCAGCUAAUACCGCGUAUUCUCUGAGGAGGAAAGGGUGGGACCUUAGGGCCACCUGCCAUAAGAUGAGCCCAAGUGGGAUUAGGUAGUUGGUGGGGUAAAGGCCUACCAAGCCUGCGAUCUCUAGCUGGUCUGAGAGGAUGACCAGCCACACUGGAACUGAGACACGGUCCAGACUCCUACGGGAGGCAGCAGUGGGGAAUAUUGCGCAAUGGGGGGAACCCUGACGCAGCCAUGCCGCGUGAAUGAAGAAGGCCUUCGGGUUGUAAAGUUCUUUCGGUAAUGAGGAAGGGAUGUUGUUAAAUAGAUAGCAUCAUUGACGUUAAUUACAGAAGAAGCACCGGCUAACUCCGUGCCAGCAGCCGCGGUAAUACGGAGGGUGCGAGCGUUAAUCGGAAUAACUGGGCGUAAAGGGCACGCAGGCGGACUUUUAAGUGAGAUGUGAAAUCCCCGAGCUUAACUUGGGAACUGCAUUUCAGACUGGGAGUCUAGAGUACUUUAGGGAGGGGUAGAAUUCCACGUGUAGCGGUGAAAUGCGUAGAGAUGUGGAGGAAUACCGAAGGCGAAGGCAGCCCCUUGGGAAUGUACUGACGCUCAUGUGCGAAAGCGUGGGGAGCAAACAGGAUUAGAUACCCUGGUAGUCCACGCUGUAAACGCUGUCGAUUUGGGGAUUGGGCUAUAUGCUUGGUGCCCGAAGCUAACGUGAUAAAUCGACCGCCUGGGGAGUACGGCCGCAAGGUUAAAACUCAAAUGAAUUGACGGGGGCCCGCACAAGCGGUGGAGCAUGUGGUUUAAUUCGAUGCAACGCGAAGAACCUUACCUACUCUUGACAUCCUAAGAAGAGCUCAGAGAUGAGCUUGUGCCUUCGGGAACUUAGAGACAGGUGCUGCAUGGCUGUCGUCAGCUCGUGUUGUGAAAUGUUGGGUUAAGUCCCGCAACGAGCGCAACCCUUAUCCUUUGUUGCCAGCGAUUCGGU